GACGAACGCUGGCGGCGUGCUUAACACAUGCAAGUCGAACGGAGUGGCGAACGGGUGAGUAACACGUGGGUGAUCUGCCUUGCACUUCGGGAUAAGCUUGGGAAACUGGGUCUAAUACCGGAUAGUGCAAGAUGAGCUCGCGGCCUCUCGGCUUGUUGGUGGGGUAAUGGCCUACGAGGGCGUCGACGGGUAGCCGGCCUGAGAGGGUGUACGGACACAUUGGGACUGAGGUACAGCCCAGACUCCUACGGGAGGCAGCAGUGUGGAAUAGUGCACAAUAGGCGGAAGCAUGAUGCAGGGACGCCGCGUGGGGGAUGAAGGCCUUCGGGUUGUAAACUCCUAUCGACAGGGUCGCGGUACGUGUAUAAGAAGCGCCGGCUAACUACGUGCCAGCAGCCGCGGUAAUAC
rnacentral:rRNA from 1 species